rnacentral:lncRNA from 1 species
AUAUGAAUCAAUGAAUCAAUAUGCACUUAUUAAUAUAUAAUUAUUAUAUUGAUUUGUAAUCAACAGGAUGGACUCAGGAUCCAGAUAAAAUUAUAAGACGGAAUCACUUCUCGGAUGGCCUUAUUCUGUCUCCCAGAUAUCUUGUCACUUGAAAGGACCUCUGACCUCGUCACCAUGGAGGAAGGAGUCAUUCUACAGUAGAGCCUAUGAGAGAACAGAAGGCAAAUCCUUACAAAGAUGUGACGCUCUUCUUUUAUCCUCAGGAAAGGGUCUUCUCCACACUCUUCAAUUAGUGUCCGCUCUUUGGAAAUGUGGAAACCUUGUAGCAUCCUGGAGUGUUCUUCCUUCCCUUGAUAUUUGUCCCCCAGGUGCUGUUCAUAUCCUCUCUUUUCCCAUCUCUGGGUUGAUAUCAAUAGACACAUUAAUAAGCCUGC